rnacentral:rRNA from 1 species
UACGUAGGGGGCAAGCGUUGUCCGGAUUUAUUGGGCGUAAAGAGCGUAUAGGCGGUUCGGUAGGUCCGUUGUGAAAACUCGAGCUCAACCUCGAGACGCCGAUGGAAACCCUCGAACUAGAGUCCGGAAGAGGAGAGUGGAAUUCCUGGUGGUAGCGGUGAAAUGCGCAGAUAUCAGGAAGAACACCCGUGGCUAAGGCGGCUCUCUAGUACGGUACUGACGCUGAGACGCGAAAGCGUGGGGAGCGAACAGG